CUAAAGUGGCAGAAUAGUGCAUUGAACUUAAACUUCAAAUAUAAAGAUUUUCUUUCUUUAGAAA
rnacentral:tRNA from 1 species